UACGGAGGAUCCGAGCGUUAUCCGGAUUUAUUGGGUUUAAAGGGUGCGCAGGCGGGAGAUUAAGUCGGCGGUGAAAUUUUGCAGCUCAACUGUAAAAGUGCCUUCGAAACUGGUUUCCUUGAGUGUAGAUGAAGUAGGCGGAAUUUGUGGUGUAGCGGUGAAAUGCAUAGAUAUCACGAGGAACUCCGAUUGCUAAGGCAGCUUACUAAGCCAUAACUGACGCUCAAGCACGAAGGCGUGGGGAUCAAACAGGAUUAGAUACCCGUGUA
rnacentral:rRNA from 1 species